rnacentral:tmRNA from 1 species
GGGGUCGCACUGGUUUCGAUUUUAGUAUUGAAACGAUAAACGCAAGCUGAGUUGGGCAGACUCAAUAAACGGCUCAUUUAAAUUAAAUGCAGAAAAGAAAAGUAACGUAGUUUACGCUGAUUUCAGAACAAAGAAAGUUGCACAAGCAACUCCUGUGUUCGCUGAAAUGCAAAUGGCGGCUUAAAUAAAGCUGUCUGAAUUGUAGAGUGAUGCACAAUAGUUUUACAAUUCUUAUUUAUUGUGUAAUAUUCAAUCACUUCUCCGAGAUUGAAUAGAUAUAAGGAGAUAUUAUCAAUGGUUGGGUUAAUGUUUUCCUUACUAAUUGAAAGAAAAAGAUAAAAAACAUGAAGCUUGUAAUUCGGGUGUUGUUUGAAUAAUAAAAGACGGGAGUUCGAUUCUCCCCGACUCCA